rnacentral:lncRNA from 1 species
CUUCAAAUAAAUCAACUACUUCAAAAAUAAAGGUUAAACAGAACAUAUUGCAGCUUUUAUUUCUGCUUAAUCUUUAUUUUUAGAGAAAUAAAGAAUGAAAGAUAAAUAAACAGGCUGUGUACAACCUCAUCUUAGAUACCAGAACUAAAAUUGUGUAUGCCAGACGCGCGUUUUAUCUAUAAACGACUCCCCACUGACGCUGAUUAAAAAAAUUAAAAAGACAAAAAAAAAUACGAAAUUUAAUGGCAUAGAGAAUUACAAAUUCAAAAAGGUUUUGUCAAAUACAGCUUAGAAUAAUUAAUUCAUUGGUAACAAAAUCCUUAGUAACUCGAC